GAUGAACGCUCGCGGGAGGCCUAACACAUGCAAGCCGAGCGGUAUUUGUUCUUCGGAACAGAGAGAGCGGCGCACGGGUGCGGAACACGUGUGCAACCUGCCUUUAUCUGGGGGAUAGCCUUUCGAAAGGAAGAUUAAUACCCCAUAAUAUAUUGAGUGGCAUCACUUGAUAUUGAAAACUCCGGUGGAUAGAGAUGGGCACGCGCAAGAUUAGAUAGUUGGUGAGGUAACGGCUCACCAAGUCAAUGAUCUUUAGGGGGCCUGAGAGGGUGAUCCCCCACACUGGUACUGAGACACGGACCAGACUCCUACGGGAGGCAGCAGUGAGGAAUAUUGGACAAUGGGUUAGCGCCUGAUCCAGCCAUCCCGCGUGAAGGACGACGGCCCUAUGGGUUGUAAACUUCUUUUGUAUUGGGAUAAACCUACUCUCGUGAGAGUAGCUGAAGGUACUAUACGAAUAAGCACCGGCUAACUCCGUG
rnacentral:rRNA from 1 species